GUCCGAUAAGUGUAAUGUUUUAACCAUAAAGAGAAGUUCACAUAUUGUAUCACAAAAGAAUAUUCAUUUCCACUGAAUUACAGAACUGAAGCUUAGCUCGGUUUGCUCGGUUUGCUGCUGAGACAAAGCUGCAACAAUCCAAUUUAACCGUGGUCAGCACAUAUAUAAUAAUAGAAUAUUGUAUAAUAAUAUGAUCAAAAUAACAGGCGAAAAAGGUGCAGAGAGUGAAAAAAGAAACACUUGAAUAACAACAAAAAAAAAACAAAUAAAAAAAAAGGAAAACAAAAAAGGGGAAACCAAAAAAAGACAAAAUAUAGCAACAACAAAUAAAAGCAGAAAAGCUGUGAAAAACAGUAGAGAAAUAAACAAGCAUUAAUUUUGUGUGUAGAUAUAAAUAGGUAGAAAAAAUAAAGAAAAUAGGUAGAGAAAGCGAGGAAUAAAUGAAAUAUAGAUAAGUAUCUGUCCAAUCUGUGUGUGUAUGUGUGUAGAGGUACCAGAUGUAUAGAAUUGUUAUAGAAAAGUUAUUAGCCAUUCACCAAACCACUUUAUUAUUUGAUCUAAAUUAAAAUCAUGCUUAUUACACCAACAGCAGUCUGUUCCGGUUUAUAACCGCCUGUUCUGUUCACACUGGUCUGUCCUUAAACCAGUUUACUCUGAGUUGCUGUGGGAAUGGACGGACAUGUUAAGUGUAUUUGAUGCAGAGAGAGGUCUGAGUGAAGAACUGUAAAAAGGGGGGCUGAAGGAGACCGGCGGAGGGAUUUUGGUGAGUACUUACCUUCUGAAAGUUUGCGCCCCUAUAACCAUUUAAACUAAAAGG
rnacentral:lncRNA from 1 species